CAAUAGCGUAUAUUAAAGUUGUUGCAGUUAAAAAGCUCGUAGUUGGAUUUCUGGUGGGAGCGAUCGGUCUGGCGCUUAGCGCGAGUACUUGCAUCGUCUCCGGCCAUCCUUGGGGAGAGUCUGUCUGGCAUUAAGUUGUCGGGCAGAGGAUCCUCAUCGUUUACUGUGAAAAAAUUAGAGUGUUCAAAGCAGGCUUAUGCCGUUGAAUAUAUUAGCAUGGAAUAAUAAGAUAGGACUUUGGUACUAUUUUGUUGGUUUGCGCACCAAAGUAAUGAUUAAUAGGGACAGUUGGGGGUAUUCGUAUUCCGUUGUCAGAGGUGGAAUUCUUGGAUUUACGGAAGACGAACUACUGCGAAAGCAUUUACCAAGGAUGUUUUCAUUAA
rnacentral:rRNA from 1 species